CUGUAAUUUCGUGACAGCCGUGGCGUCGCUCCGCCGCCGCGCGCCGGAGCUCCUCAAGACUCCCCGUUGCGCACCUCUUUGUCAGGCACCAGGGGGUUCGUGGCUGAGCACAGGCGGCCUUAACCGACACGGCCCGUCCGUGCUUUACAAUGGCGAUGACCAAAGCCAUGGGCUUUCUUUGCAUUGUAGGACGCCGACGCUAGGCUACGGGGCGGACAAGCUAUGCCUCAAUCAAGCAGUUGUAAAUUAGUCAUCAUGGACUCUGAAUUUUCUGCUGCUGAAGGCCUGGUCACUCCUAGUGCAUCAUGCAACACACUAACAGGAGGUCUCCUGGAAGUUGAGAGAUCGAGACAGUGCCGCAGGGUUGGCAUGCAGCAGAGACGCUGCCUCCCCCGCACGAUUCUUGAUGUCUCCCUUGGGCUGGAAGUAUCCGAGAAGCCCUCCGCUGCCG